GAUCAUGAAAGUGAUGUCAUGGUGUAUACAGAAAAUGAUCCGAGCUUUUGUGUAGACAUCACGAGUACAAAAGAUGGAAAAUUCAUAACUGUGAAUUCGAACACAAGGACUUCAUCAGAGGAAGGAACUUAUCUAAAUCAAUUAAUUUGUAUAUAUAUAUUUUUUUUUCUUUUCAUGGUUUAUUUUGAAUCUUGAUGAUUGUAACUUUGAAAUACAGGUGUACAUAAUAGAUGCAAAUAACCCACAAGAUGGUUUACAAAAAGUGCAUACUCGUGUUUCUGGUGUACAAUUUUUUUUGGAACAUCAUAAAGGAUUCUUCUAUAUUCUAACAAAUGCAUCUCAAAA
rnacentral:lncRNA from 1 species